UUGUUACCGGAGAAGUUUCAUGUUUAGUUUGGAAAGUUUUUUCUUUUAUUUUAGGUACAGCGCGCGCGCCACAUUCAGGAGACAUCACGUGACGCGGGUUUAUAAUAACGAAAAGAUAGUCUUUUUAUUUCUUUUUAGGUGGGGACGUUAAACAGACAACAUCUAUAGAGAUGGAAUGUACACAAUGUAAUUUCUUUUGUCAUUGUAGGAAAUUGACAUUUUGAUGACAGUUCACAAGUAGUGCAUGUUUUGGAUUUAAUUGAUCCGGUGUAACUUUAAAACACAUUUAUUGAUUAUUUUCUGAUAAUGUACAUUUUUCAGCACCUGUUUGUAACACAGAUUAAGUAUUUCAACUCGGAGCGGACAUUUUAUUGUAGGUUUUUACUGAGAUUUACGGACCUAGCAAGCUAUUUUUACGGCAUUGCCAUUUCUUUUCUCUAGGAAAAGCUUUGAGAGAUAUCUGCACCAAGUUUUUUUAUAAACGUUUAGUACAUGUAUGCCCUGCUGACUGCAAAUUUUGAGGUCGAUUGUACUUGUAGUUUCAGAG
rnacentral:lncRNA from 1 species